GUGGAACUGGAGAUGAUCCGUACAGAGUUCAGGACUGCUCUGAACCAAGUUAUGGAGGCCAUAGAGGCCCGGCAGCCAAAGGAGUCAGAGUCCUUGGGGCAACUUGAAAUGCUGCAAAACCCUGCAGAAACAAAUGAGGAACUAAAGGAUAUCUGUGAAACUGAUUCGAUACCUGACCCUCUGCUGUGGCCUGGACCUGGGCUCAGGAAUCAGACGAAUGAUGAGAAAAAUUAGAACAGAGGAGCUGUGGACAGGCUACUCCUUGAAGGGCAGGAAGGGGAAUAGGGCCUUUAAUGAGCUAUCAAUCUAUGAUGCUGUCACAAGAGCGUCCCUGAAAGCACACCCCAAGGCUACCUACCAAGAGGUAGAUGACAAAAUAGCAGACGCUCUCAAACAUGCACCAGCUCGGCUCAAGAGUAAGAGAAAGGAGCGGGUCGAGGAAGAGACUGUGGAUGAGGAUGGAGCAGCAGCACCUGAAUAAACAUAACAUAGUUAUUCACUUUUAGCUUUAAGCAGUUUUACAGUUCUUGAUUGGAGUGCAGUGUUCAUGUUUUUACUGACUUGUUAUUUUGUGAGCUUAUUGCUGUGAUUUUG